AAUAAAGUAUCUGAAUUAAGUGGUGAUGUUACAGAGAAAACUAUUGAAUGUUUUGAUUAAAAUUGCUAUCCGUGUUUGUUUCAUGAAAAGUGAACCUUCUGCUGAACAAUGGAAUGUUCUCGCCCUGACAUGUUAACUGCCACUCAAUCUCUGAACCUUGUUUUUGCUUUGUUCAUAUUCGUCCCAGCUAGAGGACCAAUUCACAUAUUCUCUUCCACUCCUUGAAUGAACUAUGAUAGGACAAUCUGAAUAUAACCCUUCGUGUUGGCUACUCCCAAUUAAUAAACCAUUAAAACCUUUGAAAAAAACCAUUAAAAAUUCUUCCAUUUCUCAUUUUUUCUCUUUUUAUUUUAUUUGGUAAAUACUCAUAGAAUAACUAACAGUGAAAUUGUCUAAAUAUACUUUAAAAAUCAUCAACAUGUAAAGUUGAAUAGAAGCUUUCUCAAAAAAAAAAAGUUGAAUAGAAGUUAAAUUGUAUACAACAAUUCAUGUCCAAUAGUACUUUUACAUGUUGAUAUCUUAAUACUUUUAGAUUGUUUAAUCUGAAUUCAGUGAAAUACACAAAUUUGAGGCGACUGGUGAGCUAGAUUGAAAGCCGCAAAACUUCUUUUCUGCUACGAAUUUCUUUUCUUCCAACUUUCCUUUUCCUUGCUAACUUUCCAUUUUUGUUGACUUUCCAUUUAUAAAUGAGCCGAUUAAAAUUUAGGAAAGGCUAUGACAAGGUAAAUUUGUUUGCAGUUUGUAUUCGUGGCACUUUUUCCGUUAGGUUGAAUCAAUGACAAAAAAAAAGUAAGAAUAACUAUAGUUUUUAAAUAUCAACUUUUCAGCCAGUAGAUGGUUACACUGAUUUACUAACUCUAGUUUUAGUGCUGACUAUUAUAUUUUGUUUUCUUUAAACCACUGCAAAUAAUCGUCACGAAGAGCCUUACGGUCAUUGGGCCGUAUUAGAGGUUAGUUGCAACAUGAUACUACCAAGCGUUUCAACUAGCAUUUGGCGCUUGCGUAAAGACUCCACUAAAAAGAGGAGCUAAUUGAUUACUCUUUUAAUUGAGGGAAUAAAAAAACUAUAUGCAUGCAAACAAAAUAUGAGACCGAGGCCAACAUUAGUGGUAAGAAAUUACAAUGGGUCUCUCAAAACAUGUUUUAAUAAUAAUAAAAUAUUUCAAAAUGUGACAGAUUUAAUAAAAGUAUCUUAACAAGAGACGUUGAUAUCUACGGGAAGAAUCGAUUAACACCUUCUUUCCUCUUUUUACUUACUUUUUUGUUUUGUUUUACUAUUUUAAUUAUGAGAGACUUGUGGAUGUGUAUCUACACGACUAGCUUCAACAUUAAUGUUUACAUUUUUUUGCUAACGAAUGUAAAAAGUCAACAUUAUACCUUCUUUUCUUAUUGUUCUAAAAUACCAUACUUUUUUUUGCUAAAAGAAGAUACCAUACUUCUUUUUUACCUCAAUUUUGUAUAUCUGUGGGAUACCAGUUGAUUUAAUACUUUACGAUACUUCAUUGAUGUAAUGUGUAGCUUUUGGUUUGGCCAUGCUCUCCCAUGAGAUCCAAGCCAUCUUCUUGGUUUCCUCGUUGCUAUCCCACCAGUAUCGGGUUACUGCGGAUUGAAUCCGUUUGCACAGAGAUACCGGUAGACUAAAGCAGGACAUAGGGUAGGAGGGCAUGGCAGAGAGAACACUCUGCAGGAGUACUAGCUUCCCCGCCGCAGACAGGUACUUGUUCGAUCGACCUCUCGCUUUCUGCUUUAUCUUAUCAACUAAUGAGGAGAAGAGAUCUUUUUUCUUGCGCCCAAAAUGCUCAGGAAGACCCAAGUAUUUUCCCACACCUCCUUCCUUUUCAAUUAGUAAUGCGCCCUUGACCAUUUCUUUUAGCGAAGCUGGAGCUUUCCUUGAGAAAGUGAUAGCGGAUUUUUCUUUGCUGAUCGAUUGCCCUGAUGCCUGUUCGUACUGGCUGAGGAUGGUUUUGAGGGAUGCACAAUUCUCCUUGUUGGCUUGGAGGAAGAACAUUGUAUCGUCCGCAAAGAAGCGAUGAGUAAUCCGAGGGCAUCCUCGUGCUACUUGAAGGCCUUGGAGGAGACCUUCUUCUUGCGCUCUGUUACAUAAUCCCGAGAGCACCUCGCUACACAUAAUAAAUAUGUAGGGGGAGAGAGGGUCUCCUUGACGGAUACCUCUGCUCGGUACUACCUUCCCUCUAGGCAAGCCGUUAAUGAGGAAGGAGUAUGAUACAGAUGUGAUACAAUGCAUUAUGCAUCGGACCAGGUUCUGAUGGAAGCCCAGGCGGGUUAGCACCAGCGAGAUGAACUCCCAUUCGAGGCGGUCGUAGGCCUUACUCAUAUCAGUCUUGACCGCCAUAGCACAUCUCUGUGCCGCUUUGGACGUCUUAAGGUAGUGGAGUACCUCAUGAGUGAUAAGCACAUUGUCUCCGAUCGCUCGGCCAGGGACGAAAGCCGAUUGAUUCUCCGAGAUCAGCUUCUCCAUCAUUGGUUGGAAGCGUCGGGUAAGGAUCUUAGAAAAGAUCUUGUAGUAGACAUUACAAAGUGCUAUUGGUCUGUAGUCGGAGACUUUUUGAGGCUGGGAGAUCUUCGGGAUCAGCCGGAUAUGAGUGUCAUUAAUUCCACUCAGGAAGGGGGCGGCGCCACGGAAAAAUUCUUGCACCUCGCGGACAAUAUCAGGACCUAUGUCCGUCCAAUGUGUGUGGAAGAAUCCCGCCGAGAAUCCAUCGGGUCCCGGUGCCUUGUCCGCAUGAAUAGAGAAAGCUGCUUCCCUUAUUUCAGCUGCUGAUGGUAUCCCAAUAAGUAUUUGAUUCUCAGCAUCUGAAACAAUUGGGUGGAGAGCCCUCCGAACAGUUUCCUCUCUAUCUCCCGGGAGUGAGGUGAACAAGUUUUGGAAGUAGUCACCUAUGACCGAGACAAUCUCAUCCUCUUUAUGCACCGUUUGGCCAUCAUCCUUCUCUAUCACCGAGAAUCCGUUAGCUCGUUUUCUUGACUUUGUUAUCGCAUGAAAAUAGCCAGUAUUCCUGUCCCCCAACUUAAGCCAUAGGAGGCGACUCCGUUGUUUCCAGUAUUCUUCUUCCGCAAGGUAAGCUGCGUUGAGUGUCUCAGAGAUGUUUUGAAUGAGAGCGGUAUCAUUCACAGAGCUUGAAAGGGCCUCAUUUAGCUCCCAUUUCUUUUGUUCUAUCACUUGCUGACUAUUGCGCUGCUGUGAUUUAUUCCACUCUGAAAUAGCAGAACGAGCUGAGCUGAGUUUCGAGGAGACCGUGGCCGUUGGGUUCCCACGCCAGGACUCAGAUAUGAUGCGCUUUGCCUCGUCAUUUUUACACAGUCUUCUAUCAUAUCGGAAGAUUCCUCUUCGUCGUCUCCUCCCUUGAUCAAAUAUAGAAAUCAGAGGCUUAUGGUCAGAACUUUCGAAGCCAAGAUAUUCACAUCUCGCUGUUGGGAAGCAUUAAGCCCAGUGCGUGUUCGACACUGCUCUGUCCAGCCUACAUCUCACGAGAUGAUCACCUCGUUUCCCUCGCCAGGACAAGAAGUCCCCCGAAUGUUGGAGGUCAAAGAGAUCAUUGGGAUUUUUGGAUUCCAUAAUGAAGAUAAUAUCAGGAUCAUAUUUCUUUGAUAUCUCUCCUAGGCGUCGAACUGUCCGGGGAUUCCCCAACCCUUGACAGUUCCAGCUCGCCAUCGCUAAGGAGCGGGGAGGGAUGGAGUCCGAAAAUCCAUCCUUCGUCUGGUAGAGCGUGGAACGAGGUUGAUGAUUGGGGCGUGAUCUGAAGCUGUGCUACCAGUCGGGCGCUGAGCAGCUCGAGAUGUUUCACCCUUCUUUGAUUUACCAAUCUUUUUUCCUUUUGAUGUUCCCGCGUUUGUUGACAUAUCCUUUCUGCGAAUAGGGGACGGUUUUGAGCGGGAGGUAGUUCGCCUUGGCGGAACAGCAGCCACCAGACCUUUAGAUUUUUCCUGUCUUGUCUUUUUCCCCGGGGGACGACCCGGUUUGCGUUUAGCUGCGGAUAGGUGAGGAAGGUCAGUUUCAUCAUCUAUCGCCUCGGCUGAAGAGAUAGGUCCCAGGCGUUGAAUUGCUGGAAUGCGGUCAGGACUGCGGUCCAGAGACAGAAGACUCUGAUCUUCAUAUCUCUCACUUUCAUUUGGAGGAGGGCCGAGUCUUAGAGUUGCCGGUAGUCUGUCUCGACUUUCUGAGUUUUGAUCAUUUGUGUUCUCCUCAGCAUUGGCAGCUAUUAUUUGAGAGGCUGGUCCUAUCCUCUUACUGGAUGAUCGACGUUCGUGGGAACGAGAUUCAGAGUGUUGAGCAUCCAGAUUAGUUCUAGAAGUACGAAGAGCAAUACGUAAGGCAGUUUCUUCUAGUUGUCCACGUUCCUCUGCUUGCUUUGCUCUUUCAAUUCUGACUUCUCUUUCUGAGGGGUCGGUACACUUAGUAUACUGCAGAAGAGCAUGUUUUGCCUCGCCUCUAGCCUCUUCCAAUAUCUUCUCAGAGAAGUGAGUUGGGUCCCUAGCCCGGGGAAUCCCCCUUUCGGAUGACCCAUUAAUCUGUUUUGGUGAGGCUGAAGUGGCUUCUCCGGUUCCUGAUCGUUCCUUAGGAAUCUCUCGAUAAUAGCUUCUGCUCGGGGGAGCCGGAGGGUGCCUCUGGUGGGCGUUUCCCCGGAAAGACAGAGGAGGAUGUUCCCGAUAUCUUCGCGAUCGAUCGUCAUUUCUAUAGGUACGUCGCUGAUUAGAUCUAUUCUCCCAAUCUUUUGGGUUGGAUUUGUAAACUCUGUGCUCUGGUUUAUCACGUCUACCUUUCGAGGCAAGUCUAGAGUUUUCAUCACCAUUGUUAGAAGCAGAGAAGUGGUAAGGGGGGGCGCUCUGGUGGCUUUUUCCUUUGGCAUUCGGAUCAUUAUGAGCAGAGGAAGCAGAGAUUCCUCUUGUAGGAAUAGCACUCUGAUUCGCAAGAGUCAUGUCUUUACCACUUCCUUCCCCUUGGGCUGAUUGUAAAGCCUUUUCCUCCGCUCUAGCCACCAGGCAUUCUUUAAGCUCGUGGUCGAGUCUGAGGCAUUUAGAGCAAUGCUUAUCCAGACGUUCGUAGAGUAGUGUGGUAGUAACCGAAUCACCAUUCGGAAAAUCGACCACAGAUGUUUUGAUUAGAGGUAGCAAGCCAUCAAUGUGAACCCUCAUCCUCGCUGAUAGGGGGGUUAUAUCGGAUUUUUCAUAGAGGCCAAUGUCUUCUCCAAUGACCCUGAUGAUGGGCUCUGUCCACAGGUGAACCGGGAGUCCUUGCACUUUGACCUAAAAAGGAAUCAGAGACGGGAAGUUUGGGGAGACAGUGGGCUCCCAUCGCUGGAGGAUUACCAUCCAUCGCGCAUAGUGGUAUGGCCUUUGAUCUAGAACAGCGAGCAAGUCUGAUUCCAAUUCAAACUGAAAUUGGAAGAGGCCAUUACCCAAGUCAGCUCCUAUUGGCUUGAAUUCAGUCUUCCAGUGCUCUGUGAAAAAUGGUAUAAGAGACCACACUUUUUGGAUGGAUUUAUUAGUGACUCUCCCAAUAAGCGUUAGAGAAUGCUUUCGCAGCAGUUCUGAGUUGUCUGGUAAGGGAGCUUUGACACGGGCCAACCGGGGAGGUUGCUGAGAGCUCAGAUCAAUUCCUUUCCCCUUUUCAGCCGACGAAAUUCUUCGAUGAGCCAUGAUUCUCGCAAGUGAGAAAGAUUUACUGUCAGCUGCCAGUUACUUGUGAGUGAAGUAGCGUCUACAGGCCACAGGGAUUCCCCCAACGCCGAGAGGUUAUGAAGAGUAAAAUGAAAAGGAGAUUUGCUUGUUCUGCUUCGAGAAGGUAAAUGAAAUAGAGCGAUUCAGCUGUCUUAAAGGGAAGACGUAAGAUGUCGGUACCAGGAAUCCCCAGUUCGACAUUCAGAGAUUCGAUUAGGAACUACAGAGAAUCCUCUGUGAGUUUCUCGAGACAAUGGAGGGGUUGUAGCGAGACCAGCGUGAGAGACAGGGGAACUCCAUUAAAGUUUCUAUCGUCGGUGGGAACGAGUUCAGCGGUGGUCGGCGGGCCCGUCGACCGGAGUCGCAGGCAGAACCCGGUGAGAGUUCUCCAAGAGCUGUCUUUGGACUGCUAGAUAAUUCCCAAAGAGGGAAUAAUUUGAAUUGGCAGAGAGGUGAAAAGAAGUCUGCACCAAUCAGAGACAAAGGACCGAGGGAUAACAGGAAGGAGUAUCCGUGGGACCGCUGACUAAGGACCUAUCUCGCAAAGAGCGUCUGGGAGAGAAAAUAUUUUCCCUUUCUCUUUUUUUUAGCCAAAUAUACAUUAUUAAGAAUAUAUGAGUAUGUAUGAUAAAGCAUUCAUAUAUAAAUCCACCUAGAAUAAAAUAUGGAAUAAGGACAAAACAUAUAUAGGAAUAUGGACAAACAGAGGAACUGUAUUAAAGGAAAUAUUUAGAUGAAAAGUUUGGUUGUGGUACGAUAAAUUAUAAUAUGGGGUCCAAUUUUAAAAUCCACCUAGAAGAAGUUGUGAUGUUUCUAAUUUAAUUAAUAAGAUAGAUAUUUUGGACAAUACUUCCAAUAUACAUUAUUUUGGGUCUGUUAUAUACACUUACUAAAAAUAACGGACGGUGAGAAGGAAACAAAACCCUAAGAAAAUCUUUAAUUUGGAUAUAAAAAAAGGAGUUAAGUACAGAGGGUAAGGUUCGAACACCUACAACUUUUGAAAAAUACGCUACUACUCAACGCAGACCACUACACCAAGGAGAUUAAAUUGCUCCGGAUGCCUCUCGAAUCAAUAUAACAACUUUUUCGGCUCCAGGGCCAGAGACCUCUAUAAGUAGACAUCUUCGUAACUUGGGAAUGGCAUAAAAGAAAAAAAACAUCAUUCUCUCUCAGUCGCUCUAUCACACAAAAUGCUGUCUCUGCGAUCAAUCUCCGCUGUUCUAAUGUCGCUCCUUCUCCUGUCUGCCACGGCAGGUCAAGCUUUCUAUUUCUUCUUCUUUUUUUGAUCAACGGCUCUCUGUUUCUUCUCUUUUUGGUCUUUGAUACGUUCUUUUUAAAAAAAUUCGUCAAAUCUGUGCAUUCGUUACAAUCUGUAGAGCUCCAAAUAUUCAACAGCAAAUUCCUUUUGUUUAACUUUUAUUUUCUUACAUUUCAGUUAAUAUUUAUUUAUUCCCCAUGCUGUUUUAUCAGCUUAUAAGCUACAAUUUUUUUUUAAUUUUGUUGUCAACAGGUAUGAUCCAGACCGGGCCCGCUCCAGUGAAAUCUCCCGUCGACCAUACCGGUCCAAAAUGGGUUCUUCCACCGGUGCCUUGCACCCAGGAAGAUUGUGGCUUCGUUUGCAGGCACAACGAUUUGCUUCCUUUUGGAUGUCCAGGCGUCAACUGUUACUGUCUCCAGAAUCCAUAAAUAAUUGUUGUACGAGUUUGUCUACAAAAAUUAUCCAAGUUUGAUGAAAUAAAGUAUCUGAAUUAAGUGGUGAUGUUACAGAGAAAACUAUUGAAUGUUUUGAUUAAAAUUGCUAUCCGUGUUUGUUUCAUGAAAAGUGAACCUUCUGCUGAACAAUGGAAUGUUCUCGCCCUGACAUGUUAACUGCCACUCAAUCUCUGAACCUUGUUUUUGCUUUGUUCAUAUUCGUCCCAGCUAGAGGACCAAUUCACAUAUUCUCUUCC
rnacentral:lncRNA from 1 species